GAUGAACGCUGGCGGCGUGCCUAAUACAUGCAAGUCGAGCGAACGGACGAGAAGCUUGCUUCUCUGAUGUUAGCGGCGGACGGGUGAGUAACACGUGGAUAACCUACCUAUAAGACUGGGAUAACUUCGGGAAACCGGAGCUAAUACCGGAUAAUAUUUUGAACCGCAUGGUUCAAAAGUGAAAGACGGUCUUGCUGUCACUUAUAGAUGGAUCCGCGCUGCAUUAGCUAGUUGGUAAGGUAACGGCUUACCAAGGCAACGAUGCAUAGCCGACCUGAGAGGGUGAUCGGCCACACUGGAACUGAGACACGGUCCAGACUCCUACGGGAGGCAGCAGUAGGGGAUCUUCCGCAAUGGGCGAAAGCCUGACGGAGCAACGCCGCGUGAGUGAUGAAGGUCUUCGGAUCGUAAAACUCUGUUAUUAGGGAAGAACAUAUGUGUAAGUAACUGUGCACAUCCUGACGGUACCUAAUCAGAAAGCCACGGCUAACUACGUG
rnacentral:rRNA from 1 species